rnacentral:lncRNA from 1 species
GUCAGUACAUUUCAGUCACCCCCGCCCAGCCCUCCUGAUCCUCCUGUCAUUCCUCACAUCCUGUCAUUGUCAGAGAUUUUACAGAUAUAGAGCUGAAUCAUUUCCUGCCAUCUCUUUUAACACACAGGCCUCCCAGAUCUUUCUAACCCAGGACCUACUUGGAAAGGCAUGCUGGGUCUCUUCCACAGACUUUAAGCUCUCCCUACACCAGAAUUUAGGUGAGUGCUUUGAGGACAUGAAGCUAUUCCUCCCACCACCAGUAGCCUUGGGCUGGCCCACGCCAACUGUGGAGCUGGAGCGGGAGGGAGGAGUACAGACAUGGAAUUUUAAUUCUGUAAUCCAGGGCUUCAGUUAUGUACAACAUCCAUGCCAUUUGAUGAUUCCACCACUCCUUUUCCAUCUCCCAGAAGCCUGCUUUUUAAUGCCCGCUUAAUAUUAUCAGAGCCGAGCCUGGAAUCAAACUGCCUCUUUCAAAACCUGCCACUAUAUCCUGGCUUUGUGACCUCAGCCAAGUUGCUUGACUAUUCUCAGUCUCAGUUUCUGCACCUGUCAAAUAGGGUUUAUGUUAACCUAACUUUCAGGGCUGUCAGGAUUAAAUGAGCAUGAACCACAUAAAAUGUUUGGUGUAUAGUAAGUGUACAGUAAAUACUUCCAUUAUCAGUCCCUGCAAUUCUAUUUUUCUUCCUUCUCUACACAGCCCCUGUCUGGCUUUAAAAUGUCCUGCCCUGCUUUUUAUGAGUGGAUACCCCCAGCCCUAUGUGGAUUAGCAAGUUAAGUAAUGACACUCAGAGACAGUUCCAUCUUUGUCCAUAACUUGCUCUGUGAUCCAGUGUGCAUCACUCAAACAGACUAUCUCUUUUCUCCUACAAAACAGACAGCUGCCUCUCAGAUAAUGUUGGGGGCAUAGGAGGAAUGGGAAGCCCGCUAAGAGAACAGAAGUCAAAAACAGUUGGGUUCUAGAUGGGAGGAGGUGUGCGUGCACAUGUAUGUUUGUGUUUCAGGUCUUGGAAUCUCAGCAGGUCAGUCACAUUGCAGUGUGUCGCUUCACCUGGCUCCCUCUUUUAAAGAUUUUCCUUCCCUCUUUCCAACUCCCUGGGUCCUGGAUCCUCCAACAGUGUCAGGGUUAGAUGCCUUUUAUGGGCCACUUGCAUUAGUGUCCUGAUAGAGGCUUAAUCACUGCUCAGAAACUGCCUUCUGCCCACUGGCAAAGGGAGGCAGGGGAAAUACAUGAUUCUAAUUAAUGGUCCAGGCAGAGAGGACACUCAGAAUUUCAGGACUGAAGAGUAUACAUGUGUGUGAUGGUAAAUGGGCAAAAAUCAUCCCUUGGCUUCUCAUGCAUAAUGCAUGGGCACACAGACUCAAACCCUCUCUCACACACAUACACAUAUACAUUGUUAUUCCACACACAAGGCAUAAUCCCAGUGUCCAGUGCACAUGCAUACACGCACACAUUCCCUUCCUAGGCCACUGUAUUGCUUUCCUAGGGCAUCUUCUUAUAAGACACCAGUCGUAUAAGGAGCCCACCCCACUCAUCUGAGCUUAUCAACCAAUUACAUUAGGAAAGACUGUAUUUCCUAGUAAGGUCACAUUCAGUAGUACUGAGGGUUGGGACUUCAACACAGCUUUUUGGGGGAUCAUAAUUCAACCCAUGACAGCCACUGAGAUUAUUAUAUCUCCAGAGAAUAAAUGUGUGGAGUUAAAAGGAAGAUACAUGUGGUACAAGGGGUGGUAAGGCAAGGGUAAAAGGGGAGGGAGGGGAUUGAACUAGACACAGACACAUGAGCAGGACUUUGGGGAGUGUGUUUUAUAUCUGUCAGAUGCCUAGAACAGCACCUGAAAUAUGGGACUCAAUCAUUUUAGUCCCCUUCUUUCUAUAAGUGUGUGUGUGCGGAUAUGUGUGCUAGAUGUUCUUGCUGUGUUAGGAGGUGAUAAACAUUUGUCCAUGUUAUAUAGGUGGAAAGGGUCAGACUACUAAAUUGUGAAGACAUCAUCUGUCUGCAUUUAUUGAGAAUGUGAAUAUGAAACAAGCUGCAAGUAUUCUAUAAAUGUUCACUGUUAUUAGAUAUUGUAUGUCUUUGUGUCCUUUUAUUCAUGAAUUCUUGCACAUUAUGAAGAAAGAGUCCAUGUGGUCAGUGUCUUACCCGGUGUAGGGUAAAUGCACCUGAUAGCAAUAACUUAAGCACACCUUUAUAAUGACCCUAUAUGGCAGAUGCUCCUGAAUGUGUGUUUCGAGCUAGAAAAUCCGGGAGUGGCCAAUCGGAGAUUCGUUUCUUAUCUAUAAUAGACAUCUGAGCCCCUGGCCCAUCCCAUGAAACCCAGGCUGUAGAGAGGAUUGAGGCCUUAAGUUUUGGGUUAAAUGACAGUUGCCAGGUGUCGCUCAUUAGGGAAAGGGGUUAAGUGAAAAUGCUGUAUAAACUGCAUGAUGUUUGCAGGCAGUUGUGGUUUUCCUGCCCAGCCUGCCACCACCGGGCCAUGCGGAUAUGUUGUCCAGCCCAACACCACAGGACCAUUUCUGUAUGUAAGACAAUUCUAUCCAGCCCGCCACCUCUGGACUCCCUCCCCUGUAUGUAAGCCCUCAAUAAAACCCCACGUCUCUUUUGCUGGC